AGGGGACCUGAUGCAGCAACGCCGCGUGAGUGAUGACGGUCUUCGGAUUGUAAAGCUCUGUCUUUAGGGACGAUAAUGACGGUACCUAAGGAGGAAGCCACGGCUAACUACGUGCCAGCAGCCGCGGUAAUACGUAGGUGGCAAGCGUUGUCCGGAUUUACUGGGCGUAAAGGGAGCGUAGGUGGAUAUUUAAGUGGGAUGUGAAAUACCCGGGCUUAACCUGGGUGCUGCAUUCCAAACUGGAUAUCUAGAGUGCAGGAGAGGAAAGGAGAAUUCCUAGUGUAGCGGUGAAAUGCGUAGAGAUUAGGAAGAAUACCAGUGGCGAAGGCGCCUUUCUGGACUGUAACUGACACUGAGGCUCGAAAGCGUGGGGAGCAAACAGGAUUAGAUACC
rnacentral:rRNA from 1 species